rnacentral:rRNA from 1 species
AACGAACGCUGGCGGCAGGCCUAACACAUGCAAGUCGAGCGGACCCUUCGGGGUUAGCGGCGGACGGGUGAGUAACGCGUGGGAAUAUGCCCUUCUCUACGGAAUAGUCCUGGGAAACUGGGGGUAAUACCGUAUACGCCCUUUGGGGGAAAGAUUUAUCGGGAAAGGAUUAGCCCGCGUUGGAUUAGGUAGUUGGUGGGGUAAUGGCCUACCAAGCCGACGAUCCAUAGCUGGUUUGAGAGGAUGAUCAGCCACACUGGGACUGAGACACGGCCCAGACUCCUACGGGAGGCAGCAGUGGGGAAUCUUAGACAAUGGGGGCAACCCUGAUCUAGCCAUGCCGCGUGAGUGAUGAAGGCCUUAGGGUUGUAAAGCUCUUUCAGCUGGGAAGAUAAUGACGGUACCAGCAGAAGAAGCCCCGGCUAACUCCGUG